AGAUCCUAUAAAAAAAAAAGAAGAAGAAAAGGAUAAACAGAAGAAGCAGUAAACAGGCAAUUAAAGCUCAGGUCAACUCAGAUGAACCUGGGGUCAUUAGAACUCCUAUUUGCCUCCUCCCCAUUCUGCACUGAUCAGCAUUCCUUUCUCUGAGCUUUACCACGGUUCAUCAAUCAGCACUUGAGAUGGGAGGCUGACCCUAGGCUGUUGGGGUGAUAGUCAGCCUACUUCUGCUUACGGGUGGUGUUUCUUUAUGAACUGUGCUUCCUAACUGUUGGUGGUGAGCCAAGUUCACAGGACUUGUUUGCUGUAGAGGGAUUUUAAUCCAGCAACAUGGCUACUCUGGCUGGAAUUCAGAUACACCUGUAGUAUACACCUUUAAUCCCAAACAGUGAAGAUCAAGCUAGUUUGUAGAAGGAAGCACCCAUGUUGGAAAGUAACAUCUCACAGGAUAGGGUAUGUCCAACUCUCAUGAGAACAGAGAGGAAAGAGAGGUGACUUGAGAGAGAGGAGGCAGUUUGACCUGGACAGCUGCACAGAGACAGGCUGCAGAGAGAGAGAGCAAGCUAGACACAGGUGAGGACAGAAUGAGCUACAGAACCAAAAAAAAAAAAAGCCAGAAGAUGAAAACAUAUUGCCAAAAGAAGUAUGAGGCCAAGCAAAGCAAUUCAGUCAGAACUGAAAGAAGCCAGUUUGAAUCAGUCAGCAUGAAGAGGAGUUUUGAGCCAGAAGUGUGGAGCUGACCAGCUAACCAGAGUUCAAAAGAGCUAGAAAGGGUGAGCAGUAAAUCUCAGGCUGAAAACAUUCUAGACUUAGAUAAGAUUGUAUGGAGGCUAGAAGCUUCAGGACUAGGCCUAGGUUACAGACUAAGGCUAGCAGCCUCCCAGAUGACAAUUACAUCAGGUAAAUAAAAAAUAAAAUUUACAGUUUGUACUUUCCUUUUCCAUAUGGUUGAUAAUUUGGGGUUAAAUUCUAAAUAUUGAAUAUCAUAAAUUGGUCGAGAUCCCUUUGUUCAUCUAGUGAACUGUGGACUCCUUCGAAAUUCACACACACACACACACACACACACACACACACACACACACACACACACAUACACACACACACUCCUGGGAUUACAAGGAGACCAGCUAUAUGCAAAUGCAACCCUGUUCACAGAUCCUUGGGGGAGCCCCUGGAUCUCCAGGCUCUGUAGAAGUCGUGGAUGGAGAGAGAUUUCCUGGGAACUCUGGUGUUGUGGCAUCUGGUAAUGAGCUGGGCCCCCUGAGGCUGAGCCCUAUCUGGCUUGGGCGCAUUCUUCAAGGAGGCCUUUUGAUAUCUCUGAACCACGAGUAAAUCCCAACCACCCAGAGUAUUGGGGCAGACUGCAUUUGGCAAAAGCAAACACAUUUCACAGAUGAUAGUCUCAGACAGAUGGUGGAUAUCAAGACAUUUAAUCAGAGGGCUCUGACAUUUCAGAAUAUGAGGGUUUGGAGUUCUGUUGGCUUUGGGGCAUAGGCAGAACUUAAUAAGCCAAAUAAAUUAUUCUUCAGCUCUCUGCUGCAAGCUGUAAAUAGCCUUUGACAGGUUCUGCCUGUCAUCUUAUGAAGAACAUUAACCCUCUCUCUAACAUCUUUUCCUGAAGAAAAAGUGCUCCCAAAUAUACAUAUUAAUUAUAAAAUGAUAAGACAAAUGAAAGAUUACAAAGACAGUUGCUAUUUUCCCCCCUCAGGAUCAAUUUAAGAUAUUUUUUAAGGUACAGUUUUUUUUUUACUCUUUAUUAAUUCACAUUGUGUUUUUGGCAACAGGCGAGGUUACAUAAUAGUACGGCUUCUUACCAAAUAGGGGUUGGAGGGGGAAACUCACUGUUUAAAUUUAGAGAUCUUAACCGUUUAGUUGGGGAGGAACUUUCCCCCUUUCCGACUUUCUUUUAAAGCUUUGCUGAAACCAGAGCUUUAUAGUUUCGCUAAAAAGGAAACAAUACUAAAUGUAAUUGAGCACUUUUCCUAACACAGGAUUGCAAUCACGGGGCCUGCUGGGGAGAAAUCACGAUGUGAUCAGGCUGACAUUAUUUACUGUACCUAUUUAAGUUGGCUCAAACCUUCGUCAAGCGUGUUCUAAAUGCCACGCACUGUGCUAAACCUGAAUGUUGCAGUGCUGGGUCUGCUGGGUUCUUAUUUUUUAAGUCCAAGUUCUUAUUUUUUAAGGUUUUUUUAAAAAACGUUCUUUUUAAAAAGAUCUACCUAUUUAUUAUAUAUGAGUGCACUGUAGCUGUCUUCAGACACACCAGAAGAGGGCAUUAGACCUCAUUACAGGUGGUUGUGAGUCGCCAUGUGGUUGCUGGGAUUUGAACUCAGGAUCUCUGCAAGAGCAGUCAGUGCUCUUAACCGCUGAGCCAUUUCUCCAGUCCAAGAGUCCAAGUUUUAUACCAGGCUUAUAUGCUUUGUGCUAAGCAUGCCAACAAGCCAGGGACCUGAGGCCCAACAAAACAAAACGCAACUUGAAAAUAUUUAUUUUCGAGUUUUAAAACCCUGUGUGUGUGUGUGUGUGUGUGUGUGUGUGUGUGUGUGCGUGUGCGUGUGUGUAUGCGUACGUGUAUUUGUUUGUACGGGUGCUUGAGGAGUCCAGAUCACCUAGAGCUGGAAUUAUAGGCAGUUCUGAGCACCCCUGCUUUGUUGCCAAGAACAGAACGUGGGUCCGAGAGCCGAACGUGGGCCCUCUGAAAGUGCUGUUCUUAACUGUUGAGUCACCUUUUUAGCUGCCUCGCUCAAAUCUUUUUAAUGAUAUGUUUCUUGUCAAUGGAAGUGUUUAACAUUUUACAUUCAGAAGAAUCUAGACAUUCUAGUGUUUUUCCCUCCACUCAUCCCCCUCUCCACCCACCCUUGACCCACAAUACCCUGGAUACGGAUAGAAAUCCAAGGGGCUUGGGAAUAGACUUGGUGCAGAAGACUAAGUGAUAUGAGAGUGAUCAGCUCCUCCUCAAGCAGGGAAGGGUGAAAAGCAAUCUUCUGGUUUCAGGUUAUCCUGGGUGGUUCAAGGUUUCAUGGCUGAAGAAGCGCUUGCUGACAGGAGCCUAGUAUAGCUGUCUCCUGAGAGACUCUGCCAGCUCCUGACCAAUACAUAUGUGGAUGCUCGCAGCCAACUACGGGACUGAGCACAGGGACCCCAGUGGAAGUGUUAGGGGAAGGACUGAAGUGGUUUGCAACUCAUAGGAAGAACAACAAUAUCAACUGACGGGACACCCCCACCCCCAGGGAGUAAACCACCAACCAAGGAGUACACAUGAAGGGACCCAUGGCUCCAGAGGCAUAUGUAGCAGGGGAUGGCCUUAUCUGGCAUCAAUGGGAGAAGAGGCCCUUGGUCCUGUGGGGGCUUGGGGUCCCAGUGUAGGGGGAUGCUAAGGCUGUGAGGUGGGAGUAGGUGAUUGUGUUGGGAAGGGGGAUGGGAUGGAGGGUUUGUGGAGGGGAAACUGGGAAGGGGGACAUUUGAAAUAUAAGUAAAUAAAAUAACCAAUUAAAAACAUUUUUCGUGGCUGAUGUAGGGAGAGGGUAGACCACAAGGGGGCGCUAUUGUCGCACAAAUUUCAUGGCGGUGCUGGGGCCGGGCUGGCUAAAGAUGUGCUCCUAACAAAGGACCUCCGGAGGUUGUAAUCAGGGCGGCUACCCUGAGAGGACAAGGCAGCUCCUCCGGAGGAGAUUAGGGGACUAAGUUUGCCAUGGAGAGGCUCUAGGCCAGAGCAUUUCAAAGGUCGGGGCAGUUGUGAACCUGUGAAGGCUGAUUUGACAAAUCCACUUGACUGAUUUUAGCAGCUCAAGAAUUUAGCUAAAUAUUAAUCUGUGCCGUUUGAGGAGGUCUCUGGACGAAAUCACGAGUCUGCAAACUGAGUUGGGCAAUAUGUUCUCUCUGAAGUAGUCAGGCCUCAUUCGGUCUGCUGCAGGCCCCAGUAAGGAAGACUUAAAGGGAGAACUUGGGGUCUGCGUGACGCUUUGAGCUGGGACACUGGCUUUCUCCUGCCUCAGGGCUCUGCUGGUCUCCAGCUUACUGAGUGCCAAGUUCACCUCUUAGGAAUUCUCAGCCUCUAUAACUGUGUCGUGCAGUUAAUAUGUAUGCAUGCACGUAUGUAUGAAUAUAUCUUAUAUACAAAUACCAUAUGCUUUAUUAGAGUAUAGAUACUAUACUAAUAUACACAUAUAUAUGUCUAUAUGUCUAUUAUAUGUACACAUUACAUUCUUUUGGAUCUAUUUCUCUGGAGAAGCCAGACUUACACAGUAUCUUUUACAGAACAGCGUUCGUCUUAUGUACAUGGAGUUAGGAGAUGUUGGGCAUGGUUUGGUAAGCUUUGUAAAGUAGGCCAUCUCUAAAUGGCUAAAAUCAUACUGGGCUCGGCCGACAGGCAUAAUCAACAGGGGAGAUGCUGAAGACCAUCAUGCAGGGUCGUCUCUGGCUCGUUAUGAAACAACCGUGCGAGGGAAAGAAGAGGGCCCUAAUUAGGGAGAGUCUCGACACUGACGGUGCAUCCCAUCCUGGGGUUAUGUUACCAACUCGAUGAGCCAGGGGCCUUAUACUCCAGUUGGAUUCCCUGUCACCCUUGCUUGUCUAGGUGUGUAAUACAAGGGCUCAGUUAGCAACAGCAAUAGGAACAGAUAUAGCCACCGUGAAAAGCUUCCUGGAAGGUCCCCCAAAAGUUAAGUCUAGGGCACCAUGUGAUCCAGUCAUUUUUCUAGGUCCAUUUCCUAACAGACUGAAAGACUCAAAGAGACCCUCACACAUUCACGUUGUGAGCUAGCAUCCUCAUCUCCUGCACAGGUGCCAGUCAGAGGGGGACAGAGAAGCAAGACAUGGUCCAUAUGUGCAGUGGGGGAACGCAAGCCACAACUUCUAAUAAACACACAGAAUCAGCCUUGUGAGGACAGGAGAGCCCUGACCCAUGCUGGACCAGCGAUGAGCUCUGAAGCAAUCCUGGAUGGAGUGAGGGGAUUGUAAAAGGACAAACAUCAUAGGAUUCUAUUUACUUGAGUUCCCAUAGUAGCUAGACUCAUGAGUCAGAGUGUGGAAUUGUGGCUCCAGGCCCGAGGGGAGGAGGGCAUAAAGCCCUGGGGGAGAAGGGCAUAAGGCCCUGGGGGAGGAGGGCAUAAGGCCCUGGGGGAGGGGUGUUUAAUAGGCAAAGGGUAUCCAUUUUUCCCACAUAAAGGCAUCCAGAGAUGGGUGGUAAUGGUUGUACGCUGAAUGAGCAUACAUGAUGCUGCCAACCUGUGGUCAUUUGGGUGCCCCGAGAAUGUAGCUCAGUUGAUAGAGUACCUGCUAAGUACACAAAAGGUGCUGGGUUCAAUUCCCAGCACAGCACAUGAUCAGGUAUGGCAGAGUACAUCCAUAACCCCAAUACUCAGAGAUAGAUGAAUAUGAACCAGAAAUCCAAGGAGAACCACAGUGAGUCUGAGGCCAGCCUGGACUACAUGAGACCCUGUCUUAAAAAAAGAAGUGGUAGGGCUGGAGAGAUAGCUCAGUGGUUAAGAACACUGACUGCUCUUCCAAAGGUCCUGAGUUCAAAUCCCAGUAAGCAUAUGGUGGCUCACAACCAUCUGUAAUGAGAUUGGAUGCCCUCUUCUGGUGUGUCUGAAGACAGCUACAGUGUACUUAUAUAUAAUGAAUAAAUAAAUCUUUAAAAAAAAGUGGUAAACGUCAGAUAGUGUUGUCUUACUAAAAUAAAUAAACUCAAUGGGGGGAAUGUUAAAAGAGGGGAACCCCCAAAUUAAGAGGUCAAAUGUUGACCGCAUGGUCCAAGCAUCAAAUGCUUUUCCUACAACAGCGCUUGAUAUCUUGGCAGUGCACAUGGUUUCCCAAAUGAACAAGUUAGGCUGGCAUGGAUUAGCAUAAGCCCUGGGGUCCAGGUCACCAGUGAUGCCAGUUUUGUUUUGUUUGUGUGUGGUACCGGGGAUUGCAUGCAAGGCAAAUGUUCUCCCUGAGCUGCAGCCCUGAGCCUGGUGCUAACUCUCAAAUUGCUCCCUUUUGACCACCUCUGUUUUGCACCCUGAGCUGUGAUGCUGGGGCCUGGGGCUCUGAGCAUUUCUGCUCUAUGGGUUUUAAGACUUGCUAUUGUGGGGUGCUGUGAGAAGGUUGGAAGAAGGAGAGGGAACAGUCUUUCCUGCCUGGGCUUCUGAGCUUCAUGUCUGUUGCUGAGCCUGACUCUGACUGUGGCCACCCCUUUCCAGGUCAGGCUUCUCCAUGCUGGUGGAUGCAUUCCCUCUACAGCAGCAGCCAAUGCUAGCUACGAGCUCCCGUGGCAUCCCAUGUACUCGUGAGUCUGCUUCCUUCCCUUAGCCUACACGAUGAAAGGAGACAAGCAGGGUCUACCCAAGUCAGGAGUGGUGACUGCCCUAGCAACUUGGAAGGGAGAGGUAAGGCGAGCAGGAAUUUGAGGUUGUCCUUGACUAGGUGACAUCCUACCUUUAAAAGAAAAGAAAGAGAGAAAGAGAAGAAAACUUGGGAGGUUUUGGGUAGGCCCUACUGUUGCAGUAGGGGAGGAUGUUUUGUGGUCGAGUUGAGGGAGGAUGUCUCUUAGACAGCAUACCGAGUGCCUCAUGAAGCUGGAGGAGUGUGUGUGUGUGUGUGUGUGUGUGUGUGUGUGUGUGUGUGUGUGUGUGUGUGCGCGCGCGUGCGCGCGCGCGUGCGCGCACAUGCACCAGGCACAUCACAACUACAUUAAAUGAAGGGCCAAUUGCAGCUUUGUCCCUUCUGCAAUUACAGCAAUUCCUUAUGUGGCCACCAGGGGGAGGGCUUCCCUUCUGACCUUUGUGAUCAGAGUUGAGCAAGGUUUGUGAUAGCCAAAAUCCAACACAAACUGUUUCAAAUAGCCCUAGGGGAUGCUGCAUCCUUAAGGCAGCCAGGAGAGCAAGGGACAGUCCAACGUGAGUCUCAAAUUGCCCAUCCCCAGCAUAGGAGGGUGUGGUGGCUCAUACCUACAAACGUAAGACUUGGAAGGCAGAGACAAGAAGAUUGGCAAAGGUUAUGAAGCUAGCCUGGGUUACAGAGUAAUUUCUAGGCCAGCCUGGGCUAUGAUGUGAUACCUCGUCUCAAAGCAAAGUACCUUUAAUUCCAGUACUUGGGAGGCAGGAGCAGGCAGAUAUCUGAGUUUGAGGCCAGCUUAGUCUUCUUAGUGAGUUUCAGGACAGCCUGGAACUAUGUAGAGAGACCGCGCAAAAACAAACAAAAAACCACAAAUAAACAAACACAACAAAUAUUGGGGCUGGAGAGAUGGCCCAACACUUAAGAGCACUCAGUAGUCUUGCAGAGGACUUAGCAAGACUAUCCCAGCACCCACAUGGCAGCCCACAACCAUUUGUAACUCCACCGCCAGGGGAAUGCCGUCUGGCUCUCUGUGAGCACCAGGCAUCAAUGUAGCACACAAACAUAAUACAGGCAAUACUCAUACACAUUUAAAAAGCAACAGACAGACAAACAACAAAAACAGACUGUGUGAGGAAUCGCACGACCUUACUCCCGCAUGCGGGAGGCAGAGGCAGGUAGAGCUCUGUGAGUUCGAGGCUAGCCUGGUCUACAAAUUGUAGACCAAGACAGAGAAACCUACAGAGAAAUCCUGUCUCAAAAACAAAAACAACCAAACCAAACCAACCAAACACACCCUUAAAACAAACAAACAAACAAAAAACCCCAAACAAUAGCAGGGAAAGAAAAACCCCACCUUACUAACAUUGCUAGCUGCUUUGACAAAUCCUCACAGUACUUCAAUGAUGCUUAGCACCUUCCAAGAGCCCAGAAAGGUGGGUCCCCUGCUUUUAUCUCAUGAGUAUUUAGGGACCAAGGUAACUGUGUCCUGACCUCAGGACACUGUUUUCUCUGCUGCUGCUGUCCUCAGACGCUUCCACUUUCCCCAAGGUGCAGGUCACAUCAAGACCAGAGAUGCUUUGGCUUACAGAGCGUGGCCCAGCAUGAAGCCGGUGCCUGUGACGGCCCAGUCAUUCCUAUGGGAAAGAGGCCAUUCCCUUACAGUCUCCAAGUGUCCUUCCCACGAGCACCACCUUUAUGAAGGCCUUUGAUAGUGUAAAUGUGAAGGGAGAAAAACAGAAGCCAAGGGGCUGGGGAUUUAGCUCAGUGGUAGAGCGCUUGCCUAGGAAGCCCAAGGCCCUGGGUUCAGUCCCCAGCUCCGAACAAAAAAAAAAAAAAAAAAAAGAAUUAUUUAUUCAUUUUUUGUAUGUGAGUACACUGUAGCUGUCUUCAGACACACCAGAAGAGGGCAUCGGAUCCCAUUACAGAUGUUUGUGAGCCACCAUGUGGUUGCUGAGAAUUGAACUCAGGACCUCUGGAAGAGCCCUUAACCACUGAGCCAUCCCUCCAGCCCCUGUAUCUACCUUUUGAGUACUGGGAUCAAAGGCUUGAGCCACCACCUUCCAGCGGGACUUUCUGAUUCCUGAUUCUGCUCUGUGACUGUGGGGGUGGGAAAGGAUGCCUCUUACAGUGUGGAAGAAUUAACGGGAGAAAAACAGUAGCAGGAAGUGUCUGCCUGCACUUGCAAUUGAGCACUCAGAAGGCAGAGGCAGGAGGAUCAUAGUGUUUGAGGCCACUCUGGUCUAUAUAAGAAGAUAGGAUGGCCAGGGUGACAUAGGACAAUCCAUGUGCAUACACACAUGAGCAGCAUUUGAGUUGCUGAGGAAGGAGGCAGAUGUAUGUCUGAGACUAGCAGGCCAUGCUAUUUCUUACUGUGCUAACUAGACCAUCUUGCCAGGACAGAUGAUUACAUUCUUAGCUGCUUACUGUCACAUACUGGUACCUCAGUAGCCAGAAGCCUGGCUCUGAUUCAGCCGCGUUCUGGGCUGAAACAGGCUGCUAUUCAUCUGAGGCUCAGGUCAUGGGCAGGACCCACUCAUUUUUAGCUUUAAGCCACAGCUUUGGUUGCUGAUGGGAAGCUGCUAGAAGUCACUAGAGUUUGCCCAUGGCUCCUUGCCGUGGUCAGUGGGUAGGCCUUUCUCCAUUGUGGCUGCUUCAUAAUAGCUUCUCCAAGACCAGCGAGCGAAGAGUCCUGAGUGUCGGUUCACAAGGUGAAGUCUUACUUAUGUGGGCACUUAAUCAUGGGAAGACACUUCGUCACUUCUGGAAUAAUCUGUUGGUACAGUGUUUGUCACCGACCCUGUUUCAGCAAAGGCAUAGACUGCUGAGGUGCGUGUCCUGGGGGGGGGGCACUCCCAGCCCCUCAGCACAUUCUUCCCUGGACCUCUGUCAUAGAUUAAUGAAUCUGACACACAAGUGAAUAUUUGGUUUCUUCCUGGUCUUUCCGGGAAUCACCUCCGAGGCUUGGGCUGUUUCUGUGCUUGUCCUACUCACUCUGAAUUGAUUUUAAUCUUGAGUCCCUUGUGGUUUUGUUGUGAUCAUGAGCCCAGUGCUGAAGUCCAGGGCGGACUAACCCCUCACAGGUUCCACUCAGCUAGAAGAAGCCUCAUUGUGCUCAGCGUUGGAAACGCCGCCAUUUUAACAGUGUGUAUAUUAUGUGACCUUCUUCCUGGGCAAAGCUAUACCAGGAAUCUGGAAACCCAAUUGGUAUCCACGUGGGGGCAGAGCCCUGUGCUCUUUUGAGUUCUUGCUUUCGAGGGUUCACCCCUGGUAUGUGACAGGCGUUUUCAAAAUGCCUUUGUCAGUGGGGCUCCAAGUCUCAGUUCCUGGGUGGGUGUGCACCAUUUGUACGCAAGCACAGUGAUUCCUGGUAAUGGCCUUAGAGUAUAAUCUCUUUGUGUGUUUUACAACGUGCCACAAACAUUAAGCAUCUCCAGGCUCUUCUGGGAAGGGAAUGCUCUGUAUCUCUGACCCACUAGUGAGAAUAACGUGGUCAAAGUUAGAUGGGAAGAGAAACAUCUGGGAGGGUGAGAGCACCGAGAGGGGUGGGUGGGUGAUUAAAACACUUCUGCUUUGUGGAGCCCCCUGAGAACCGUUUUACAGCUUGAAGAAAUAAACACACAUUUACAGCCAGACAGGAGCAUCUGGAAGGUUGAAGGCUAAUGGCCAUUUUGCAGUUGGGAAGACAUUAUAGGAAUGACUAUUUUUUAGAAUCCAGUGUUUCACGGCAAUUCUAAUCAACUUUCCCUGGCUGUUCCUCUAAAUGACUACUUGAUUUUUUUUUUAAAAAAAGAUUCUCAUGGGGUUGGGGAUUUAGCUCAGUGGUAGAGCGCUUGCCUAGCAAGCACAAGGCCCUGGGUUCGGUCCCCAGCUUCAAAAAAAAAAAAAAAAAAAAAAAAAAGAUUCUCAUUUCAGACUAGUUUUAUGCUUAUUGGCAGAUCGCAAAGAUCAUUCAGAAGGCCCUAUAAACCCCACUUCCCUUACAUUUUUGUCUAAUGAUUUCCAGUUGCAUAUGAACCUGGGUCUCUGUAAGAACGGAAUGCUCCUGACUGCUGAACCAUUUUCUCCAGCCCUGAUAAGCUGGGCUUUUUUAUUUAUCCAAUUUAUAACAGGUGGAGAUUUGAGCAAAUACUUCACCAUAGAAGGUAAACAGACGGCAGAUAGCUAGGCAUGGCACUGCAUGCCUGUGACCUAGCACUUGAGAGGCCAAGGGAGGAAGAUUAGCAUAGGUUAGGCUAGUCUAUACAGUAAAACACUCCCUCAAAUUACUGCCCCCAAAAGAUAUAUAGAUGGCAAAUAAGACAAAACAGAAUAUCCAAGCUUAGACAUAAUUAAACCAAAUGCAAACUAAAACCAAUGGGUUACUACUACACCCUCACUGAGGUUAAUUAAAUUAAAGCAGACUGACAAAAUAUGGAAGAACUCUGUUCCACUGGAACAAAAGAAUUGUGCAAACACCUUUUAAAGGUAUAAUUGUUUAGCAUGGGUGGUUAAGCAUGUCCACCAUAUGCUCAAUCCACCCAAUGCCAGGUAGUUGUUCCAGAGAAAGAGACAGUCCAGAGACAGGCAGAGGAAUCAACCCUGGAACAUCCCCACAAUGGAAAAGUUACUUAGUAAUACAGACCAGCUAGUGGGACACAUGCAACAAUGUAGAAGAGUCUCAAUGUAACUAUGCUGAGUGGAAGAAUUCAAACAAAGGGCUACACAGUAUUGUUGAAUUCCAUUUCUAUUCUGCUCUAGAAAAUGAUGGAAACACCAAUGUCUGCUUGGGUGGAAACUGGAGCGGACUACAUAGGAGAGACGGGGACAUUCCAGGGGAUAGACACAUACACUAUCUUGAUUGUGCUAAUGGUCUCAGGGGCCUUUGAAUGGUUCAAAACAUCUCAAAUCGCCUGCUAUCAAAUGACAACCUGUGUGUCAACAAGUUACCACAUACUAACAAUACUCUAAUAAUCUUCUAGUUGUUUUGUUUGCAGAGAUAGGAUGUCUUGUACCCAGAACUCAAGAUGUCUAUGUAGCAGUGGAUGACCCUAAACUUCUGAUCCCCCUGCCUCUGUCUUCUUCGGUACAGGGAUUACAUGUAUGUGCUGCCACAGUCCAUUUAUGUGUUGUUGGGAAUCAACAUAGGACUUUGUGUGUGCUAGGCAAGCACUCUCUUGAGUUGUAUCCCCAGCCCUGGUGUGUGUGUGUGUGUGUGUGUGUGUGUGUGUGUGUGUGUGUGUGUGUGUGUACAUGCAUACAUGCAUGCAUGAAAGCACACCUUAGCUGUCUCCUUUAUUACAACCCUCCUUAGUUUUUUGAGACAUGGUCUCUUUUAGAGCUUUGGCAAUGCUAUUGGCUAUCUUGUGCGGCUUUUAUGAGAUGGUCUCUCACUGAACCUGGAGCUCAGUUUUCUACUAGGCUGGUGAUUAGCAAGCUCCAAAUAUCCCCUGUCUCUGCCUCCCCAGCACCACACUUAGCUCUUUUUAAUGUGGGUGCUGGGGAUCCAUCGUCAUCCGAUUUAUUUUGUAUAUGAAUGUGUGUGUGUGUGUGUGUGUGUGUGUGUGUGUGUGUGUGUGUGUAGCUAUGUGUAUGAAUGUACAUAUGGGUGCAGAUGGCCAUAGAGGCCAGAAGAGGAUUUCAUGGAGCUGGAAUUACAGCUGGAAUCCUGUGACUCACCCAGUGUGGCUGUGGGAAUCAAAUGCCUGCCCUCUGGAAGAUUACCACUUAGCUAUCUCUCCAGCUCCACCCCUCACAGCUUUUAAAAUGAUAAUAAGAAAAUUCUUCACUGAACCAUUGCCAAGAAAUUUUAUUGCAAAAUUCCUUUUUUAUCAUAGUAAGAUAAGUUGGUGCCAGAAGCUGCAAACCAAAGAGAGUCAGCUGCUCCAGGCAGAAGGCCUUUCUGUCUAUGAGCCUUCUGCAGAGGGAUGGGGUCAACUAGAUGCUCUCCAAGUGUGUGGCACUUGGCAGAGUAUGGGGACCAUGUGCAGGGGCUCACUCAUCCAUCUCCUAGCUGAGCUUCCCUGCCCUCUCAUGAAUGAUCUCCAGCCUCCAGGGCUUCCUAGGAGGCUGAUUUCCCAUUGUACAGUGUGUUCUGAGUCCUGCUAUACCACCAGGAGGGAUAACAUGUGCUUAGCAGUUGCAAGCCCCCUGGGGUCGACAUGCUUGGGAACUUAUUAACCCUGAAGUCUGCAUCUGCAGGGCAAGUCCACAUACAAUCAAUGCCCCCUCUCUCUUUCUGCAUAUGUGUGUCUCCCCCUCUCCUUGUGUGCACACGUGUGUGUGUGUGUGUUGUGUAUGUGUGUAUGUGUGUAUCUAUGUAUAUGUGCACAUGUGUGUAUGCAUGUGUUGUUUAUGUAUGCAUACGCAAGCAUAUGUAUAUGUGUACAUUCACAUGUGUGUGCACACGUGUAUAUACAUGGGCACAUGUGUGUAUGUGCAUGUGUCUGAGUACUUGUGGAGGUCAGAGGACAACCUUAUGGGCCAUUCUUCCUCAGGUGCUCUCUACCUUGUUUUUUAAAACAAGGUCUCUGCUUGGCUUGGGGUGUGCAAAGAUGACUGGGCUGAAAGGCUGAGGAAUCUCAGACAUUCUCCUGUCUCGCCUCCCCAGAGCCCCGAUCACAAGCACAGGGUCUCAUGCCUUGUUUUGUUUUAUAUAUGGUCCUAGGGAAUUGAACUCAGGUCCUUGUGUCUGGACAACCUAUUGGAGAUUAGAAGCCCACCACUUUUCUUGGCACCUUCUUUGGGGGUAACUUCUAAGCUGAGGAGGCUUUAUGUAGAAACUUGGGGGGUGGUGGUAAAUAAUGGGAACUAAAAUAUUCACAUAGCCUGGGCUACAUGAAGAUCUGGGGGCCAGCCUGGUCUACAAAGACAAGCCCUUUCUCAAACAAAUAAGUUGCUUAACUCAAGGCAUUGUUGUAAAGAUUAAAUGUGUGGGUUCUUAGAGUAAGUGAGUCUCCACUGAAUGAAAUCAUCCUGUGGAGUUGGGACAGUGCUUGUCCACUGUCCCCAGGAAAGGGGGUACUUGCCUCUCUGAUAUUUCUCUCCAUAGGUCCAUCAGAACCUCCUUGUUACAGGUUCUGUCCGUGAAGGGAGGACGCGCAAAGGCAGCAAGUUUGGCUCUUCACAGGACUUAUUCUUCUCAAAAGCACUCCCUCCAGCAGUGGUGGCCUCUGUCAUUAACCCUGUGACUGAGGUUCAAGGCCACACUGGGCCAUGCGAUGAGACUAUACCCCAAAUCACCCCAAAUCACCUUGACCAGGCCCCCAAAACCUAAAGCCAACCACUGUGGUUCCCGGGGAUACCAUCUACUUUGUUCUGUCACUGUUUGAUAAGUCCCAGACACGGGCACCCCAAGACACACUGUGGGAUUGGCAGGUCACAGAGAAACAUGGGGUACUCCAUGCAAAUGAUCCCCAAAGCUGCCUUCCUCUGGUUCACCAGGGACUAUGACAGGCACUGGGGCUGCCCACCAGUGCUCACCCCAAGGCAGGUCUGGUCCUUUCUUGCUUCUGUUUUGAGAUAGCCUCUAUCUACAUUCUCAAGGCUGGUCUCUCUCCAGGGCUCACGUGAUUCUCCCAGUACAGCUGUCUUCUGCCCUUCUGCAAGAGAUCCAGUCCCCCAUCACAUGCUCAGGAGGUAGGUGCUGCCUGAUGUCCAACACCUUUUGCAGAGAGAACAGCAGACACAGAGCAGAUAAUCUGUUGACAUUUCUUUGUGGGCACUUUCUAUUCUCAGAGGAUGUCUAACUGAUACCUGUGGUGUCUGGGAAUGGGCUGCAAGAACGUUGGACUGCAAUGUUAUUCUGCCAUCUUGUGGUAAUCACAUUAUCAGGAUAAAUCAAUCUAUCUAUCUAUCUAUCUAUCUAUCUAUCUAUCUAUCUAUCUAUCUAUCUAUCAUCUAUCUAUUCAUCUAUCUAUCAUCUAUCUAUCUAUUUAUCUAUCUGCUCACCUGCCUAUCACCUAUCUAUCAUCUAUCUAUCUAUCUAUCUAUCUAUCUAUCUAUCUAUCUAUCAUCUAUCUAUCUAUUUAUCUAUCUGCUCACCUGCCUAUCACCUAUCUAUCAUCUAUCUAUCUAUCUAUCUAUCUAUCUAUCUAUCUAUCUAUCUAUCUAUCUAUCAUGGACUGGAACCUAGAAGUUAUUCAGGACACUUCCUUCUCUGAAAAGCCUUCCAGGAUUCUUUAUUAAUAACCACUACACUCUAUGGAGAAUACAUUUUCUAAAUAGCAAAUUAUAACAGAACUUGGUAGUGCACACCCAUAAUCCCAGCACUCGGGAGGCAGAGGAAUGUUUGAGGUCAGCUAGUGAGACCUUGUCUCCAAAAAUAGAAUCAAGUUAUACUAAGAUCAAAUUUUAAAAAUAUAUUUCUUAAAUCUUAUUUGUAUGACUGUUUUUCCUACAUGUAUGUCUGUGCACCAUGUGUGUGCCUGGUGCCAGUGGAGGCCAGAAAAUAAUGUUAGAUUGCCCUGGAAGUGGAGUUACGGAUAGUUGUGAGAUGCCAUGCAGAUGCUGGGACUCUAGAAAAGCAGCUAGUGCUCUUAGCUACCAAGCCAUCUCUCCGGCCCCUUAGAGUAGUCUUAAAGUUGGGAAUGGGGUUGCACACUUAUAACCCUAGCAUGUGGGAGGUGGAGGCAAGAGGAUCAUGGGUCAAGGCUGUCCUGUGCUGUGCAGCAUGACCUCAUCUCAAAAACAAACACCAACAUCAGUCUUGGUGCUUGUGCGCGAUAAUGUUGAAUGUGCGUUCAGUUAAUGUCUGUUUGCUGUGUGGAGCAAUGUUAGGCUUCCAGAGAUAAUGAGAUAUGAUAUCUGCUCUCAGCAAGCUUCAAAAAUGUUGAAAAAAAGGGCGACUUGUAUACACAUCUAAACAGGGGCACUCUCUUGUGACCUGAGACACCAGAAACCCUAAGCAGGGUCACUAGUUUGAGGCCAGCUUCGGCUAGACAGAGCCACCUGUCUAUAAACAAUAAAAUAAAAUCUAAAUUAUAAGACCAAAAGCAUGCAUUUGUUAUAGUAAGAGAUAUAAUGGAAUGAAGUUGAGACACUUUGGAAAUUGGGCAAAAUCUACUGAGAAAGGCAACACUGGAGUCAUUCUCUGGAGUCACUAUGUCUUCUUGGGAAGACAGGGCACAGUGGGCCUGAAACCUCAGCCUUUCAGGGGUAGACACAGGAGAAUCAGGAGUUCAAGGCCAGUCUUGUCACAUAAUGUGUUGGAGGUCAGUCUAGAGUACACGAGACCCUGCCAUAAAGACAGCACAUAAGACUCCUAAGCCUGUGGGUUAUGAUGGAUUUCUUUGGAUCAGGUACCACUAUCCCAGUUGUGAUGAUUUGUGUGUGCUCAGCCCAGGGAGUGACACUAUUAGAAGGUGUGGCCCUGUUGGAGUAGGUGUGGCCUUGUUGGAAUAGGUAUGGCACUGUGGGUAUGGGCUUAAGAUCCUCACCCUAGCUGCCUGGAAGCCAGUCUUCCCCUAGCAGCUUUCAGAUGAAGAUGUAGAACUCUCAGCUCCUCCUGCACCAUGCCUGCCUGACUGCUGCCCUGCUCCCACCUUGAUGAUAAUGAACUGAACCUCUGGACCUGUAAGUCAGCCCCAAUUAAAUGUUGUCUUUUAUAAGACGUGCCUAGGUCAUGGCGUCUGUUCACAUCAGGAAAAACCCUAUCCAAGACACCAGUUAUAGUAUAUAUUUUCUUUUUAGUUCUUUGAGACAGAAUUUCUCUGUGUAGCUCUGACUGUCCUGGAAACUUGCUUUGUAGGUCAGGAUGGCCUGGAAUGAACAGGUCUGCCUGCCUCUGCCUCCCAAGUACUGGGAUUAGAGGCGUGAACUAGUCCCACUGCCCAGCCUAGUCAAAGUAUUAUAUUUGUAAAAUACAGCAUGCAUAAUUUAAUGCACAAGUGGAAAGGAAGAUAUUAUGAUUGGCUCUUGUGUUUUCUUACUUCAUUCCAUAGGACUAUCAGUUGGUUUUCCAAAAAAAACAAAGAAAUACCCUCCCCACCCCUCCACACACACACUCCGCUACACCCACCGUUCUAAUGAGAGGGGCUGUUUAAGAUUAUUCUGAUGUGUUUUUAAAAUUCAACGUUCAGCGGGUAAAGUCCCUCACCACCAAACCUGACAAUGUGAAUUCGAUCCCGGAAAAAGCCACAGGGUGGGCGGAGAGAACUCCUGUGAGUUAGCCUCUGACCCCCACUUGAAAGCCCCAGGUGGGCACGAUCCCCUCCCCCAGCAAGAUAAAUAAAGGUAUGAGUGGCAAAACAUUGAUUGACUGAGAGUGAAUAGGGGAGACAGGCCGGCGUCUGGGAAAGAGAGCGGGUUUGUUCUGCACAAGCCGGGGCGGGUGCUAAGCCGCAGCAGGGUAUUGUUUAUCUGUCUUCAGGAAUCUGGAAAUUUUAACUAGGAACUUCAGAAAAACCUCUCAGUGGAGCAGGAUCGAGACAGUGAGGUGACAUCAAACUGGAGGUCUGCGAUGGUGUUCAGGAGGCACAAGGGAAAGAGAAACACAGAGGCAGCAACAGACCUGAAAGGAUGCCAGUGCCUCUGGGACGCUCCCUGUAGCCUGAGGGUGAACCUGAGGUGAGAUUUUCCGUCUGGAAGGGUCCAGAUGGGAACAGACUGAAGGACACCUUAGCAGUUUCACCCAUUUAUGGGGGCACAUGCGUGAGAUCACAACACUCAGAAGUUAGAAGAAGGGAGAUCAGGAGUUUGACACCAUUCUCAGCUCCAUAGGGAGUUCCCAUGCAGCCUGAGAGACUAUGCGUUUCUCAUGUACAGGGCUGAGGUUCAAACCCUGGGCUCUGGGAGCGGUGGGAAAACAGUUUAGCACCUAAGCUACAGCUCCCGCUCUAAGUGGGUCGGACUUCCCGAGACAUCUCCAGUGGCUGAGGGAGGUCUGGUCUGGAGGCGAAGACCAACGAGCAGCUAUCCUGAGGGUGGCCUUGGAGAUGGAAAAGAGUAGACCGCUGAUAUUUUUCCUUGCCUGUGUGGACCCCGCGGUGCCACAUCAUCUACCCCUAAAUCAGGGACUGCAUCCAUUGCUUCUGGGCCCCAUUGAGACCAGUUCCGCCCAUUUGUGCAAGUGAUUAUUAGCUCCACGCCAGCCUCAUGAGUCUUUUCAAUAUUUUGUGGUCUUGCUUCUGUUUUUCUUCUGCCAAGGACUGCUCACUCCAUGGAAAUCUUGGUUAACCGUAAGAUCUUGCCAGAGAAAGUUAAUGCCUUCAGCGAACACACCCAGGAAAGCUGGUCUCUUGCAUGGCUGGGAGCCUCCAGGAAGAGGGCUUCCUUGUUGUGAUUAAAUUGCAUGGAAACUGUUUUGUGUCUAGCUGUUAACAUGUGUCUGCUUGCUUUCACCUAACAUUCCAGUGCUCAGAAAGCCCAAGUCCCAUCAGUCUUGGCAGAAUCUGUUCAAGAUGCUUUCCUCAUUCAGUAGUGAGAAAGGGUUGGGUGGAGGCCAAGGUCACUGGGAGACUCUCCCCCGGUGCUUGAGAGCUUCCUGCCAAGAUUUCCUAUCCCUUUGGUGGCAGAUUUGCUGUGGGAACAGCCUCACCAUCUGCACGGAGCCUGCAGAUAGAAACCACACAGGACACGUGGGCCUCCCUGCCCCAGGCCUGCUGGAGCUGUAAUCGCCACCCCUGUUGCCUGCUCUUGGGAAACAGGAAGUCUGAAGGAGUGCUUGUGGUUCCACUGGGCAUUUCAGCGGCCCCAGGACAGAAUUGCUUAACGGUCAAAUGCACUCCCAGGUGCAGAGAGAGCAAAUUGGCAAUCGGCAAUGGCUGCUUGCAGGAACCAUUUUGUAAACAGCUAUUUUUAAAAAAGAAAUCUUGGGGAUGGAGGGGUGGCGCAGCCGUUGAGAACACUUUGCUGCCUUUGCAGAGGGUGUACAUUAGAUUCCCGGCACCCACGGUGUUAGUGGCUCUUGGUGGCUUGCAACUCCAGUUCUACUGGAUCUGAAGCCCUCUUCUGGCCUUCAUGGGCACUGCACACAUGUGGUUGGUGCACAUAACCCCCGACAGGCUCACACAUAUACAUGGUAAAUGAGCAGUUAUUUUAAAAAAAAAAAAGCCAAACGAUAGAAUAUUGUUGUUGGUUGUUUUCUUUUUUUUUUUUUUCAUGAAAAUGUCUGUAGGUCUGUCAUGGUGAGAAUAGCCCACCCUGUUUGUUUAGGAAAUCAUUUUUAAGAGGAAUGAAACAGGCUGGACUCACGGUAGACCCAACCAGAAGAAUGUAUUAUAGGGGUUAUGGGUGAAGCUCCAUUGGAAGAGCGCUGACCAAGCAUGCACGAGGUUUGAUUCCCAGUACCACAUAAACCAGGAAUGGCGGCGUACGUCUAUAAUGUCAGCACUUGGGAAGCAGAAACAGGAGGUUAGAGGUUUGAGGUCCCUCUCACUACAUAGCAAGUUUGAGGCCAGCUCAGGCUACUUGAGACUCUAUCAAAAAAAAAAAAAAAUCCCAAAGGAGAGAUGGUGAACAAUAUAGAAAAGAAGAGAAUUUUCUGUCCACAGCGAUGAACCAAGUCAACAGACGAUGAACCAAGUCAACAGACUCUCAGAGCAGCAAGGCUAGUAACGAAGCAUGCCGCUCACGGUUCUUUAAUGUGGAAAAAACACCGGGAUUGAAUCAAUCCAAAGUGGGAGAAGUUUAUUUCUGCAUCCUGCUUAGGACCGUUCUCCUAAACACUAGCUGGGUACCUGGACGACUUAUUUGAGCUUCCUAACCCUGUGUGGCAAGCCCAAGACACAUCUGAUAAAGGCAAGAACUGUAAGCUUAAAAGUGUCAAAAUGGAGGAAGGGGAGAGAGAGUGAGCUUGUGGGAAAGAAGAAAAGUGGGUCAGAAAGUAGGAUUCCACCGAAGAGCCCCCGUUCUGUUGUUAAUCAGACAUGGGUGAACCAGCCUGGCAUCACCCCUCUGUGGGGACCAAGGCUAGUGAGUGACACAGGUCCUGUGCCCUGAUCCCCGCUCUCAUCCUGCAGUCUCACGGGCUGCAUGGCUUGUCACUUUGCCUGCUCAAGGUUCAGCACGUGCCUCUCUAGAUGACCACACCCUGUCCAACCCUUGAACUGUGCUCUGAGGCCAGCGGCGCUGUGAAAACAGCAGCUGGCAGGUUCUUGCUUCUCUCUGCUCUGAGAGGAGCUUUCUAAAAUGCCUUUAGAGUCCUAUAGUCCUGGAUGUGACUCCAGACUCCUCUGAGCCUUUAUUCCAUGUUUUAGGCAAGCAGCCUGAACUUCUUGGAAACAUCGGUGAUAGAGGUCACCAACCCCGGCAGGCAUCGCUGACGCCCCACCUGGGUACAGCUUGUGGAUACCAUGUAGAUUUAGACAAAUUGGAGCUGUGGUUUGUUAUCCAUCCCCGGUUACAGAUAGGGUGGUUGUAGGCAGUGCAAGUUAUGAAAUAUCAGGCUGGAUUCCUUUCCUUUUUUUUUUUUUUUUUUGCAAAUUUUCAAUCGCCAUGUAUCUAGGUCAUCAUAGAAAGAGAAAAGAAAAAAGAAAAGAAAUAGAAAAAAAAUACUGUUUUUUUCCUGCUAAACCUCUUUGGUGGGGCUAUGUAUUUUGACUUUAUACUUAGCAUGUUUUUAUUAUUAUUAUUAUUAUUAUUAUUAUUAUUAUUAUUAUUAUUAUUAUUAUUUUAAAAGACAGAGUUAUAGAUCCAGCUAGCCUGAUACUUGCUAUAUAGACCAGGCUGGCUUUAGAGGUGUAGCCAUUCUCCUGCCUCAGCCUUGCAAGGGCUGUGGUUAUAGACAUAAGACAUACUGACCUAUCUAAACUGUUUAGCUUAAUAAACCACCUCAGUCUCUUGGAGUUUGGAUUCUGUUUGUUCCUUAAGCAUUCACAUGUUGGGGGUUUAGUCCUUAGCAUGGUGAUUUUAAGAUGUGGCCAUGUCUACAGGAGGUAGAACCUUGCCUCUGGGGUUGGGGGAUGUAGCACUCGGGAAGGAAUGUAUGUGGGCUCCUGUGAUACCCCGGUUGGGCUCUCAAGAGAGUGUUUUUAUAAAGGUACAUGCCUGGGCCUGUCUCUCAGGCUUCCUGUCUGGCUAGCUCUGACACACUCUUUCCAUGAUGUCAUCCACAAUGGGAGAGAGGGAAAAGAAUCCUUGAGAGAGCCAACAUUAUGCUGGAAGAAAUCUGAUAUUCGAACUUGGAUGUAGUGGCUUAGGCCUGUAAUCCCAGCACCCAGGAGGCUGAGGUCUCAUCCUAUGCCAAGGCUCCACCCAGAAUGGAAGAGAACCUCCUCUUGGCUGACUGAGGAAGACAGUCUUCUGCUGUUGCCUUUGGAUCAAGAUGUAGAACUCUUGGUUCUUCCAGCACCAUGUCUGCCUGAAUGCUGCCAUGCUUCCCACCAUAAUGGUAAUGGACUAAGUCUCUGAAACUGUAAGCCAGCUCCAAUUAAAAGUUUUCUUUUACAAGAGUUACCUUGGUCAUGUUGUCCCUUCACAGCAAUGAAAACCCUAAGGCAGAAGUUGGUACCAGGAGUUGGGUAUUGCUGGGAUAGGCCUGACCAUGCUUUAGUUUGGAGGAAUGUUGACUUUGGGGAUUUUGGAUUUGGAAAGCAAUAGAAUAUUUAAGUGGGGCUUAAUGGACCAUCCUAGAAGGAAUAUAGAAGACAUUGGUGCUGGGGGUGAUUUGAACUUUUGGGGUUUGGGUCAAGAGGUUUCAGAGGAGAAGAAUGUUAAUAUGUGGCCUAGAGACUGUUUUUGUGAUGUUUUUGUGAAGAAUAUGGCUGCUUUUUGCCCUUGUCCAAAGAAUCUGCCUGAGGCUAAAGUGAAGAGAUUUAAAAUAACUGCAUUAGCAAAGGAAAUCUCAAGGGCUGGAGAGAUGGCGCAAUGGUUAAGAUCACUGACUGCUCUUCCAGAGGUCCUGAGUUCAAAUCCCAGCAACCACAUGGUGGCUCACAGCCAUCUGUAAUGGGAUCUGAUGCCCUCUUCUGGUGUACAUGAAGACAGCUACAGUGUACUCAUAUAAAUAAAUAAAUCUUUAAAAAAAAAUAUCAAAACAGUCUAGUAUAAAUUUUGUUGUGUUGUUACUAAAGUUCACUCUUACGAAAUGCAUUUUUAUGAAAAGGAGCAGGCCGAGAAAGGAAAAAUACAAAAUGUAUGGUUCAAGUAUUAAAGGAGCACCAGGAAGUGGAGUGAAGCUGAAUCCUCCAUUUAAGGAGAUAAACAGAUUAAGGGGGUGGUGACAUUAUGGCAGAAUCCUGCCCAGCUAAGCUUAUUGUUUGUGUUUGCAGUUGAACAAGGGAUCAUUACAUCUAGGCAUUAUUUUGACCUCGUUAUUGUUUUUUGUUUGGAUAUAAGGAGACAUGAUUGUCUGUCAAAUUGACAAGGGAUUGCUUGUGAUGGCUAUUCUCAGUUGUUAACUUAACUAUAUCUGGAAUGAACUACAGUCCAGAAAUCUGUGGUCCAGAUCUUGAGACAUAGUGGCCAUGCUUAUGAAGGUCUUGUGAAAAGGUAUAGAAAGGCUCAGGUCCAGGUAUGGUGGUACAUGCCUUUAAAGCCAACACUCAGUAGACAGAGGCAAAUAGAUCUCUGAGUUCAAGGCUGGUCUACAGAGCAAGCUCCAAGGCAGCCAAGCUUAGGCAGUAAAGGAGUUGGAAAACAGAGAGCUUAUAGUGAUGGGGGCCAUGUUCCAGCCCCAGCAAGCAGUAGAACUCAGUAGCUUUGGCCAUGUGUCUCUCUGACUUUAGAGUCAAGAGGAGAAGGAAACUACUGGGACAAUUGAUGCUGGUUAGCUGGAGCUAAGGAAUUAGUGGUGAUUAAGAAGAGACCAGCAUCCCUGAGGUGAAAUUAUCUGGGCAGCGUUUUCUGAAAGUACAAAGAAGCUGUGCUCCAGAGAUAGCCAAGGCUGUACCUUGUGAUGCAACUGGACUUGGUACUGUGUAAGAAUCAGCCAGGUGGUACUGGUUUUUGAAGACAUGAAGGGGUCAUGGAGAGCAGCUUAAGUUUGACACUGUGAGAGUUCAAGGAAGGCUAUUGGUGAAGGUACAGCCUCAGGUGCAGUUGAUGACCCAGGACUGAAGGGGUCAUGCAAAGGAUUUGAGGCUUGGCAUCAUGAAAGAAGCCUAUGAAAGGCUAUUGGUGAAGCCUAGUUGCAGCAGAAGACCUAGCAUGCUGGAGAUGCCAGUACCAUGGGAUGACUGCCAGGAACAGCAGUAGUGGAAUGGAGUCAACCAGAGCCUAGAGUGAUACAGAGGGCAGGGCUGGAGAAGUGUCCUCAGCCCUUUGGAGGAGCCCAGAGGAUCAUGUGUGGAUCCCAGACAUUGAAUAUAAGAAGCUGUGAAGUUGAAGUUGUCUUGGGAUGCUAGCGAUGCCAGGGUCAUGGGCUAUCUGCUGAGGAAAGCUGCUAACAGGGAGUGGAACCAGCCCAGGAGAAAGACGUUUCUUGCAGUCAGAAAAGGUGGAAGGAGCUGGAGAUCGGAAGAGCGUUUUGACAUCGGACGUGCAAUGCAGAGCUUGGGGUUUGUUUUUUUUUUUUUUUUUUUUUUUUUGGUUCUUUUUUUCGGAGCUGGGGACCGAACCCAGGGCCUUGCGCUUCCUAGGUAAGUGCUCUACCACUGAGCUAAAUCCCCAGCCCCAGAGCUUGGGGUUUGUGCAGCUGGUUUUCUGCCUUGCUUUGGUCCAGCAUUUCCUCACGAUAACAUUCUGGAAUGAUAAUGUAUGUACUGUGAUGUGGGAAGCAUGCAGUUUGUUUUUUUACUUUAUAGGGGAUUCUAGUUAAGAGAUUGCAUGAAUCUCAGAAGAGACGUUUUUGAGAUUUGACAGACUAUGGGGACUUUUGAAGUUGGACUAAAUGUAUUUCCCAUUAUGCUAUGGCUGGGUGUAGUCCCCAUAGACUCAUGUGUUUGAACCCACCUAUGGGGGACAGGGAAUUGGAUGUGGUGGUUUGAAUAUGAAUGACACUAUUAGGAGGUGUGGCCUUGUUGGAGUAGGUGUGUCAUUGUGGGGGUGGGCUUGGAGGUCUCCCCCUAUGCUCUGGCUCUGUACAGUGCAAAACAGACCCUCUUCCUGGAUGCCUGCAGAAGAUGAUUUCUUGCUGGUGCCUUUGGAUUAAGAUGUAGAACUCCCAGCUCUUCCAGCGCUGUGUCUGCCUGGACACUGCCAUGAUUUCCGCCAUGAUCAUAAUGGACUGAAUCUCUGAAACUGUAAGCAGCCCCAAUUCAUUUUUUUUAACGAGUUAUCUUGGUCAUACUGUCCCUUCACAGCAAUGAACCCUGACUAGGGUACCCUGUGUGUUUGUUUUUAAAGACAGGAUCUACAUAGCACAGACUGGUCUCAAAUUUAAGAUCUUCCUGCACCAGCUUCCUCGGUGCUGAGCUCACAAAUAUGGACUGCUAAGCUAAGUCCAGCCAUAUUUUAUGCCAGUAAAUGUUUCCAAAUAAAGUCAUCAUGUUUGUUAAUUAAAAAAAUAGGGGUUGGGGAUUUAGCUCAGUGGUAGAGCACGUGCCUAGGAAGCACAAGGCCCUGGGUUCGGUCCCCAGCUCUGGAAAAAAGAA